rnacentral:rRNA from 1 species
UACAGAGGGUGCAAGCGUUGUUCGGAAUCAUUGGGCGUAAAGCGCACGUAGGCGGCUUUGCAAGUCGGGUGUGAAAGCCUGGGGCUCAACCCCAGAAGUGCAUUCGAAACUGCAGAGCUUGAGUCUUGGAGAGGGCAGUGGAAUUCCGAGUGUAGAGGUGAAAUUCGUAGAUAUUCGGAGGAACACCAGUGGCGAAGGCG